GAUUAACGCUGGCGGCGUGCAUAACACAUGCAAGUCGAACGAAGUGGCGGACGGGUGAGUAACGCGUGAGUAACCUGCCUUAGAGAAGGGGAUAGCCUUUGGAAACGAAGAAUAAUACCCUAUGCUCUAAGAUGGACUUGCGUCUGAUUAGCUAGUUGGUGAGAUAAUAGCUCACCAAGGCAACGAUCAGUAGCCGGCUUGGGAGAGUGUACGGCCACAUUGGGACUGAGACACGGCCCAGACUCUACGGGAGGCAGCAGUGGGGAAUUUUGCACAAUGGGGGAAACCCUGAUGCAGCGACGCCGCGUGAUUUAGAAGGCCUUCGGGUUGUAAACCGCUUUCAGCCAUGACGCGGUAGUGGCAGAAGAAGCACCGGCUAACUACGUGCCAGCAGCCGCGGUAAUUC
rnacentral:rRNA from 1 species